ensembl:lncRNA
AUGUCUCCGGCUAAAGGGGACCCCGACACAGGGACAGAAAUGGAGGUGGACGAUGGAAGGACGAGCAAGGAGGGGGAGGAGGAAGAACAGGGGGACACUUGUAAGUCCCAGCCUAAAAGAAGAAGGGUGGAUAGUCCCUCAGAGACCAAAGACUUUGAGUCGGGAAAGGAAGGAGAUGCGGCGUCUGCAGCUUCCCCUCAGAAAGAAGAACCCAAACAGGUGGAGAAGACUACAGAAAACAAAGAGACCCCAAUCCAGAAAAGGCCUCAGAGUCGCCAAAGUAGCCGAGAGUCAGCCCGCUCCUCCUCUUCCUCCUCCUCGUCUUCGGGGUGCUCCACGUCAACCCUCACUCGUCACGCCCACCACAAGAGGACUUAUGAGAAUCGACACCCUGCCAAGAAGAGGCGGAUGGACGUCACCUCGGACACAGGAAAGGAGGAGAAGAGCCAACGGGGCGGGGAGAAGGGCCAGGAAGGCUGCGACGAGGAGCUUGGGAGGCGGCGGCGGCGGCGCUCCAGGUCUUCCUCCUUCACCUCCUCUGACUCUGACAACAGUGGAAGCCGGAAGGAGCAUCGGCUGACUCGCUCGUCGAAGCGUGGGCUGCAAGACCAGGAGAGGAAGAAGGGCAACGGCCGGCAGGCAAAGAAGUCUGACAGAAACGCGCUGAACAACGCCAACGCGUCCACGGGCGGAGAGUCGGGCAGCGACACGUCUUCCGUCAGGAAGUCUGCGCUAGCUCCGCCUUCUCGGGCCGGUAAAGCUCAGGCCAACAGCGCGCCCCCCGAGCCUGAGGUUCUAGGGAAGAGGUGCUCUGCGCUCAACGCGGCGGCCAAGCUCCUGGCGAUGAAAGGCAGGGUGGAUACGCCCGGCCACACCCCUCGGAGAGACGCCGCCGCCAAGGGCUCCUCUACUGACAAGAACCAAAAGCCUAAAAGCAAAAGUGUACCGACCCCAUCACAGAGUAACUCUGUAAAUCUCAACCUCGCCAAUAACAAGAGCUGUGGCAGCAAGCCCGCCGUGGCCAAUCAGGUGCGCCGCUCCGCCUCCCGCUCCACCAGACAGUGCCCCGGCUCUCUGGUCCCGCCCCUCGACUUGUGCAAGAGGUCGAGAGCAGAAGAAAAGGAGGACGGGAGCAGGAAGUCGUCGGGGGGGAAGGAGGGCGAGCCGCCGUCCUCGUCCCGGGGCCACAGCGCCUGCAGCAGCAUGAGCAGCGACGGCGAGGCCGGAGGCGGCGAGGGCGGAGGUUGCGGACGCAGCAGCAGAAGCCGGAGCAGCAGCAGCAGCAACAGCAGUCAGCGCACCCGCAGCCUCAGCUCCCAGAACACGGAGCACCGGGAGUCCCGCGCCGCCUCCUCCGGCAGCGAGCGGGGCCGCGGCCGGUCGGAGAGCCGGAGGGACCGCCGGUCCCACAAGCUCUGCGGGGAGGCCGCCAGCGGCUCGGGGGGCCGAGGGCACGCCGGACCGGGUGCUGCGCAGCGUCGCCGCGCUGGCGGCGGUGCAGGCCCGGUCGCCGGCCGCCAGCACCCGGUCCUCCUCGGGUCACCACCGACGCAACAAGACAUGAGCGGAGCGCCAAAAGGAGUUAAAAGGAGAAGAAAAAAACGCAGCGAGACGGACGAAGCGGGAGUUCCCGUCGCGGGGGCCACGUUUACGGGAGCAUGUCGCGACCACGGCGGGUUCUGCACAAGCCGGGGGCCUCCCUGCCUCUUGGGGCCUCUCCAAUCGGAGCUGGUCCUCUCACCAGCUCGGCCAACGUCACGCUGGGGGGAAGACUCAGUGGGGAUGUCGGGCAACAAAAAAAAUAAUAAUAAAAAGAAAUAA